UACGUAGGGCGCAAGCGUUGUCCGGAAUUAUUGGGCGUAAAGAGCUUGUAGGCGGUCUGUCGCGUCUGCUGUGAAAAUCCGGGGCUCAACCCCGGACUUGCAGUGGGUACGGGCAGACUAGAGUGUGGUAGGGGAGACUGGAAUUCCUGGUGUAGCGGUGAAAUGCGCAGAUAUCAGGAGGAACACCGAUGGCGAAGGCAGGUCUCUGGGCAUUAACUGACGCUGAGGAGCGAAAGCAUGGGGAGCGAACAGG
rnacentral:rRNA from 1 species